rnacentral:rRNA from 1 species
UACGUAGGGGGCUAGCGUUGUCCGGAAUCAUUGGGCGUAAAGAGCGUGUAGGCUGCUCGGUAAGUACCGCUGUAAAAGUCAAAGGCUCAACCUUUGAAUGUCAGUGGAUACUGCCGGGCUAGAGUCCGGAAGAGGCGAGUGGAACUCCUGGUGUAGCGGUAGGAAUGCGCAGAUAUCAGGAAGAACACCAACGGCGAAGGCAGCUCGCUAGGACGGUACUGACGCUGAGACGCGAAAGCGUGGGGAGCGAACGG